rnacentral:rRNA from 1 species
CAGUCGCCGCGGGAAUACAGAGGGUGCAAGCGUUAAUCGGAAUUACUGGGCGUAAAGCGCGCGUAGGUGGUUUGUUAAGUUGGAUGUGAAAGCCCCGGGCUCAACCUGGGAACUGCAUCCAAAACUGGCAAGCUAGAGUACGGUAGAGGGUGGUGGAAUUUCCUGUGUAGCGGUGAAAUGCGUAGAUAUAGGAAGGAACACCAGUGGCGAAGGCGACCACCUGGACUGAUACUGACACUGAGGUGCGAAAGCGUGGGGAGCAAACAGGAUCAGAUACCCCCGUAGUCCCUGUCUCUUAUAC